GCUUACGCCAUACCAGCCUGAAUACGCCCGAUCUCGUCCGAUCUCGGAAGCUAAGCAGGGUCGGGCCUGGUUAGUACUUGGAUGGGAGACCGCCUGGGAAUACCAGGUGCUGUAAGCU
rnacentral:rRNA from 1 species